UGGGGAAUAUUGGACAAUGGGCGAAAGCCUGAUCCAGCCAUGCCGCGUGUGUGAAGAAGGCCUUUUGGUUGUAAAGCACUUUAAGUGGGGAGGAAAAGCUUAUGGUUAAUACCCAUAAGCCCUGACGUUACCCACAGAAUAAGCACCGGCUAACUCUGUGCCAGCAGCCGCGGUAAUACAGAGGGUGCAAGCGUUAAUCGGAAUUACUGGGCGUAAAGCGCGCGUAGGUGGUUAUUUAAGUCAGAUGUGAAAGCCCCGGGCUUAACCUGGGAACUGCAUCUGAUACUGGAUAACUAGAGUAGGUGAGAGGGGAGUAGAAUUCCAGGUGUAGCGGUGAAAUGCGUAGAGAUCUGGAGGAAUACCGAUGGUGAAGGCAGCUCCCUGGCAUCAUACUGACACUGAGGUGCGAAAGCGUGGGUAGCAAACAGGAUUAGAUACCCUGGUAGUCCACGCCGUAAACGAUGUCUACCAGUCGUUGGGUCUUUUAAAGACUUAGUGACGCAGUUAACGCAAUAAGUAGACCGCCUGGGGAGUACGGCCGCAAGGUUA
rnacentral:rRNA from 1 species